rnacentral:rRNA from 1 species
UACGUAGGGUGCAAGCGUUAAUCGGAAUUACUGGGCGUAAAGCGUGCGCAGGCGGUUUUGUAAGACAGGCGUGAAAUCCCCGGGCUUAACCUGGGAAUUGCGCUUGUGACUGCAAAGCUAGAGUACGGCAGAGGGGGGUGGAAUUCCGCGUGUAGCAGUGAAAUGCGUAGAUAUGCGGAGGAACACCGAUGGCGAAGGCAGCCCCCUGGGCCUGUACUGACGCUCAUGCACGAAAGCGUGGGGAGCAAACAGG